CCUACGGGAGGCAGCAGUAGGGAAUCUUCCACAAUGGGCGAAAGCCUGAUGGAGCAACGCCGCGUGGGUGAAGAAGGUCUUCGGAUCGUAAAACCCUGUUGUUAGAGAAGAAAGUGCGUGAGAGUAACUGUUCACGUUUCGACGGUAUCUAACCAGAAAGCCACGGCUAACUACGUGCCAGCAGCCGCGGUAAUACGUAGGUGGCAAGCGUUAUCCGGAUUGAUUGGGCGUAACGAGAACGCAGGCGGUCUUUUAAGUCUGAUGUGAAAGGCUUCGGCUUAACCGGAGUAGUGCAUUGGAAACUGGGAGACUAGAGGGCAGAAGAGGUGAGUGGAACUCCAUGUGUAGCGGUGAAAUGCGUAGAUAUAUGGAAGAACACCAGUGGCGAAAGCGGCUCUCUGGUCUGUAACUGACGCUGAGGUACGAAAGCGAGGGUAGCAAACGGGAUUAGAUACCCUAGUAGUC
rnacentral:rRNA from 1 species